rnacentral:rRNA from 1 species
UGGGGAAUUUUGGACAAUGGGCGAAAGCCUGAUCCAGCAAUGCCGCGUGUGUGAAGAAGGCCUUCGGGUUGUAAAGCACUUUUGUCCGGAAAGAAAUCCUUGGCUCUAAUACAGUCGGGGGAUGACGGUACCGGAAGAAUAAGCACCGGCUAACUACGUGCCAGCAGCCGCGGUAAUACGUAGGGUGCAAGCGUUAAUCGGAAUUACUGGGCGUAAAGCGUGCGCAGGCGGUUUGCUAAGACCGAUGUGAAAUCCCCGGGCUCAACCUGGGAACUGCAUUGGUGACUGGCAGGCUAGAGUAUGGCAGAGGGGGGUAGAAUUCCACGUGUAGCAGUGAAAUGCGUAGAGAUGUGGAGGAAUACCGAUGGCGAAGGCAGCCCCCUGGGCCAAUACUGACGCUCAUGCACGAAAGCGUGGGGAGCAAACAGGAUUAGAUACCCUGGUAGUCCACGCCCUAAAACGAUGUCAACUAGUUGCUGGGGAUUCAUUUCCUUAGUAACGUAGCUAACGCGUGAAGUUGACCGCCUGGGGAGUACGGUCGCAAGAUUAAAACUCAAAGGAAUUGACGGGGUCAUAGCUGUUUCCU